rnacentral:rRNA from 1 species
ACGCUCGACACCUACGGAGGCAGCAGUGGAGAAUAUUGCACAAUGGGGGAAACCCUGAUGCAGCGACGCUGCGUGGAGGAAGAAGGUCUUCGGAUUGUAAACUCCUGUUGUUGGGGAAAAAGAGGAUGGUACCCCAACAAGGAAGUGACGGCUAACUACGUGCCAGAAGCCGCGGUAAUCUGAGCGGGCUGGCAAGGC